rnacentral:rRNA from 1 species
CAGUCGCCGCGGGAAAACAGAGGGUGCAAGCGUUAAUCGGAAUUACUGGGCGUAAAGCGCGCGUAGGUGGUUUGUUAAGUUGGAUGUGAAAUCCCCGGGCUCAACCUGGGAACUGCAUCCAAAACUGGCGAGCUAGAGUAUGGUAGAGGGUGGUGGAAUUUCCUGUGUAGCGGUGAAAUGCGUAGAUAUAGGAAGGAACAUCAGUGGCGAAGGCGACCACCUGGACUGAUACUGACACUGAGGUGCGAAAGCGUGGGGAGCAAACAGGAUUAGAUACCCCGGUAGUCCCUGUCUCUUAUAC